rnacentral:rRNA from 1 species
AGCGUAGGUGGCGCGGUAAGUCAGAUGUGAAAUCCCGGGGCUCAACCCCGGAACUGCAUCCGAUACUGCCGUGCUAGAGGAUUGGAGAGGUAGCUGGAAUUCUUGGUGUAGCAGUGAAAUGCGUGGAGAUCAAGAGGAACACUCGUGGCGAAAGCGAGCUACUGGACAAUAUCUGACGCUGAGGCUCGAAGGCCAGGGUAGCGAAAG